UCUCCGUUGGUGAACCAGCGGAGGGAUCAUUACAGGAUCGAAAGACUCCUAUAACCCCUGUGAACUUACUACAAAUACGUUGCUUCGGCGGGUGCCCCGGGUCUCCCGGGGCGUUCAGCCCGCCGGCAGCCUUCAAAUUCUGUUUCUUUGCGUUGGCAUCUCGAGUAUACAAAAAUGAGUUAAAACUUUCAACAACGGAUCUCUUGGUUCUG
rnacentral:misc_RNA from 1 species